UUACAGGUGUGAGCCACUGCACCCAGCCCAUAUGCUAUAUUCUUAUGAAGCUAGAGAAAAGAAAAUAAAAUCAUGGGAACUUUCCAGAACACUCGGUGAGAGGCAGAGGAGUGGUAAAUGCCCGAGCUGCACACAGCUCUGCGCUCCUUCCCGCUCCCUCACACACCAGCCUCAGCCCGCACAGGCAGUAGAAGAUUGUGAAAGAAACAACUUAGCUACUCAGGAAGAACUGAAAAAGGCUUAUAGGAAACUGGCCUUGAAAUACCAUCCUAAGAAUACAAAUGAGAGUUUAAACAGUUUUCUCAAGCUUAUGAAGUUCUCUCUGAUGCAAAGAAAAGGGAAUUAUAUGACAAAGGAGAACAGGCAAUUAAAGAGGGUGGACCAGGUGGCGGUUUAGGCUCCCCCAUGGACAUCUUUGAUAUGUUUUUUUGGAGGAGGAGGAAGGAUGCACUGAGAAAGGAGAGGUAAAAAUGUUGUACAUCAGCUCUCAGUAACCCUAGAAGACUUAUAUAAUGGUGCAACAAGAAAACUGGCUCUGCAAAAUAAUGUGAUUUGUGACAAAUGUGAAGAUAGAGGAGGUAAGAAAGGAGCAGUAGAGUGCUGUCCCAAUUGCCGAGGUACUGGAAUGCAAAUAAGAAUUCAUCAGAUAGGACCUGGAAUGGUUCAGCAAAUUCAGUCUGUGUGCAUGGAGUGCCAGGGCCAUGGGGAGCGGAUCAGUCCUAAAGACAGAUGUAAAAGCUGCAACAGAAGGAAGAUAGUUUGAGAAAAGAAGAUUCUAGAAGUUCAUAUUGACAUUCUUCUCACCAGCUCCAGUAGCAGUGUAGCCAUCUCCUGUUUGGAGAGCUGCAGCAAGCACCUCCCAACACUUUAACCAAACAGAGUCAGAAGUGCUUCGUUCCUGAAUAAAAGAUGAAACAUGAAAAAAAAGAAAAAAGAAAAUAAAAUCAUAAGAAAAAAUAUAUUUACUAUUUAAUAAGUAGAAGUGGAUCAUCAUAAAGGUCUUCAUCCUCAUCAUCUUCAUGUUGAGCAGGCUGAGGAAGACAAGGGGCUGGUCUUGCCAUCUCAGGGGUGGAAAAAAACCCGUGUGUAAGGGGACUCACACAGUUCAAAUCCAUGUUGUUCAAGGGUCAAUUGUAAUUAUAUAUAAUUACAUAGUUUGUGCUGUGCUUAAGCAAUGGGAAGGAGAAACAGUAUAAACAAAAAUAUUUAGCCAAGAGCCUGGGUUUUAGUCCUCUAGUAACCGGCCACGCAACCUGGAUUUUUCUGGAUAUUUUGUAUUUUGUCUUAAAUAGUAUGGUAUUUAAAAAUUCUAGGAAUUCCCAUUUAUUAAGCAGACUACAUUCUGUAGCCACUAAAAUGUAUGAUAAACCAAAGCAAAAAUAUAUCAAAAUAUGCAAAAUGUUUAAUGCAUCAUAAACUUGGGAUGUAAUAAGAAAAAAUUAUACCUAUUUUGUGCAAAUGCACAACAACACUACCAGUAGUUGUAGGAUUACUGGUAAUUUUUUUCUAAGGUUGAAUGAAAAAAGUCUAAAAAUCCUUGAAAUUUGGAAUGCCAGACAAUUCUUCAUAUUUGUGUAUUAUUUUACAAACUGCUGUAGAUAUUUCAGCAUCAAUACCAUACAGGAAACAAGCUCAGGACUUCGUAGUUUUUUGGAUCAGGUUCCAUUCCGUAUAAACAAAAUCUAAACUCACAUCUAAUUCAGGGUAUAGUUUCAGUCAAUCUGACCACUUCUACAUCCACUUUAGUAUUCUGUAACUCACUGUAAGACCUCGGACAAAUAACCCCAAGGCUAGAGGAAGUGAGUAGAUGCUCUAAGAUAAUGGUGACCAAACCUGGAAUCACCUGGGGAAACUUUAAGGAUUACUGAGGAUGUCUGCGUUCCACCCCCAGACGGUGGUUUAAAUUUCAAAAUAACUUGAAAGAGUCCCAGGUGAUUUACAUUAACACAAAUUUGAGAACUACUCUUCCAACUAGUAACACUUUUAUUACUAACAAGUCGUGUCUUAAAGACACUACUUAAAAAUACUUUGAAGAGAAAAUUUCAAAUGGAGAACACCUUCAGUAAGAAACCACCAGUUUUAGAGUGAGAUGAUAAAUCAUGAAAUGCCAAAGUUUAAAAACCAUACUUUUAGUUUUAUUUCAGCCAUGUUAAUUCAUCCCCAAGCUGUGAGAAGUUAUGCUACUGGGUAGCUGGGUAAACCCAUCAGUUCUAUAUACUAUGUAAGGUUGACCUCUAGUGUUUCACAUACCUCAAACCAAUUAUUUUGUGCCUUAAGGAGAAAAAAAAUAACAAACUGAUCACAGAGAAGUUGUAUCUGUCACAUAUAUAAUACAUCAUGGUCAUAGUCACAUUACUGCCGUUAGGAAGUAUUUGCUUUUCAGGGCAAUUAAAAGUAAUGCCAUCUUAUUCACUGUCCUCUUCCCCCUUUGUUUCCUUUAAGAAGUGAAAGGAUACUACAAGAAAGCAAGCAUUCAAACCAUCAAAAAAUAAGACAAAUUAAGAUAU